rnacentral:lncRNA from 1 species
ACUGGGUAUUGGGAAAACCAAUGUAUCUUAUUCUUUAUGUUACGUCGAGAUAGGAGAAAAUACUGACUUUGAAAUAUUUGAAAGCAAAGGAAAAUUGUGAUACACUUAGUCAUCACAUACUUUACCUAGGGGAGGGCACAAUGCGUAAAAUUGAGCUACAUCUACAUUGCAUAUUCUGUUAGUAGAAGGUAGAGAACUCCUCUUUCUGAAAUUUGGAGACUAUCGUUUUGAAAAAUAGAGCAAAAAGUAUGUGUUGGGUAGAAGCUGGCUCUAAGCUGUUUAGGUGUCUAAAGUGACCUAAAUUAUCAUUCAUAAACGUCAUCUCCCUCGCUGAGCUUGAUGCAAGGCAGCUUAGUUUCUAUCACUCUGCUUGGGUGAGGUAGUCAGUCAAAAAGAAUGUAGCAUUUAGCAGAAAUAGCCAUGCGUGACAACCUGACAUGUGGCCCCUAGAAGUGUGUCUGGCUCCCCAUGCUUCAUCCAUGAGCCGCCG